ACUGUUUUGCAGGAGUGAAGAGACCAGGCUCGGUGUGAGAAGAUUAGGUUAUUGAAACUUGAAGCUGCAUCAAAGAAGUGCAAGUGUAAAAGCUGCAGUAUUAACAUGCUUUAAGUAGAUGAUUGGUUAUUACCCAGAGCACCAGGAGGAAACCUACACCAACACAGGGAGAACAUGCAAACUCCACACAGAAAUGCCAACUGGCCCAGCCAGAACUCGAACCAGCGACCUUCUUGCUGUGAGGUGACAGUGCUAACGACUGAGCCACCAUGCUGCCCAAUUGUGAAUAAACUAUUAAUACCGUUUAACAGUUUUAUGGAAAUCAUGUUGUUGUUUUUAAUUAGAAAGAAUAAAAAAUAUUUGAAUGGU